AACUUUUAAGUAAAUAGUUUUCGUAGGGAUUUGGAGUCCAAGUCUUUCGGGUCUCCUAUUUUGUUGGUAGUCGUUAUAUAUCCUAUUUUGGAGCUAUUUUUCCUAGUCUUAAGGAUCUCCUAGUUUGUAGUAGCUACUUUCCUAUUUUUCCUGCAGGUUUGUUUACAAUCCCUAUCCCUAUAUAAGAUAGAUAUGGCAACUCAUGAAGGAAAUUACCAUUUAUCUUCCAAACACUUGUGUUCGAUCGAAGGCCUAGGUUCCUCGGUCAAUCUAAAUUACCUCUUUUUUUGGCUAAUGGAAAGAGUGGAGGAGGGGACGACUAAGCGUAGCGACCCUUCUCUAAGCGGGAUCAUAGAGACGCUAGACCCGCGACGAGCCCUCUGAAGAAAAUCCAAAACUCAAAGAUGUGCACCGCUCCGGUACCAUCUUACCAUUGGAUAAUUACGCAUGUUUUGAUGACUCAAAACUGAUGUACAUGCAUAUCAAAGUCCUAUGCGUCCCUAUCGCAAAGCAUGUAGGUUUUACACCCCACCGUUUUCGUUGGUCUGUUGUAUUUCUCUAAGCCCAUAAGAUAGGUCAAUCUAGCUCCAUUCUGUGUCCUAUGUCCGCACUGAUUACCCGAACCGCUUGUUUUUCACAUGAUGAGUUUUGAAGAAAAUCACUAUGAAAAAAAUCAAUUUGAUCGGACAUAGGAUGAUAUGGGGGAUAUGCACGCCAACGGGGCUAUCGCUGUCUGCCACAUCAUCACUCGCCAAAUGAAAUCAGAGUUCCAUUUGGUAUGCUCAAUCUUGAGAUAUACUCACACCAACCACAUGGGGUCAAGGAGGCUUGGUAGCUCCUGCGUCACACCACGAAUUGAAGCUCAUGAUUCCAACGCUAUUGCAUCAUAUGAGAGAGAGUUUAAAGAAAAGGAGCUCUAUGUUGCCUUCAUUAGACUUGGGUUGAAAUCUGUUGGAGAAUUUAUAUAGGAAAAAAAUCUUGAAGUGGAGCACAAAAAGACUCCAAAGGUUAAAGAGAAGUUGGUGUUAGAAAAUGUAGUUUUUACAUUUGAGCAAAAGAAGAUUGCGAUGGAUAACAAGGUGUUCGCCUUAGAGAGAAUGAACUUAUUAAAGAGGAGCAAAAAUAUCUUGAUGAACACACAAAAAUAUUUAAGAACCUUAAUGGGUUUUCAAACUGACUUUCUUAGCUAUCUGCAAUAUAUUUUUGCUGCUCUUCAAGAAUUCCAUUCUCUAGGGCUAACUCCUCGUUAACCCUCAAGGUCUUUUUUUGCUCAUCUUUAAGAACUCCAUUCUUUAUCACCAACUUCUUGUUAAUCCUCAGAGUAUUUCUGUUCUCCACUUGAAGAUGUUUUUCCUGUUCUCUAAAAGAUGUCAACUCAAGUCUCAUUAUGGCAAUAUAUAGUUCAUUGUCUUUAAGCUCUCUCCACAAUAGCCUUGGAAUGCAUGAACUUCAUUUCUUGGUGCAACGCUGGAGCCUAGUACGAAUGCAAGUAGGAAACAAGCAGUUACAUAGUUUUUUCAUCGAUCAGUGAUCGCCAAGGUCAAGCUCAAUGGCAACAUCUUUUGGCACUAAGUCAGCUAUAAAAACCCUAACCCUAAUGUCUCUGGAUACAGUUGUGUUUCUACACCUUUUUUUUUAAUAGAUUAAGGUAAAUACUGUUAUAUAAGCAAUGGGGUCUGGGAAUAGAUCAA